rnacentral:lncRNA from 1 species
UUUUGUUAAUAUAAUGAGGCUGCCGUUGUUGGUGAUUCGUUAGCCUUUUAUUUCAUUCACAAGUUAGCAUAUAUACUGUGUUUUAGGGUUAACAAUUUAUUUAAACCCAAAAUGCCCUUGGAUAUUUUAAAAGACCAAAAUGAAUUAAACAAAUUACAGUAAAUAACAUUUAAAUAUUUUAAGAUAAAAAAAAAGAAAAUAAAAGUAAAAUGAAAAUAUAACUAAUUCUAAGUAUCUUUUCUAAACAUUUUAAUGAUAAAAAAAACAAUAAUAAAAGAAUUUAAAAUAAAAUAA